rnacentral:rRNA from 1 species
UUCCGGUUGAUCCCGCCGGAGGCUACCGCUAUUGGAGUUCGAUUAAGCCAUGCGAGUCGUGAGUCCUAGGGACUCGGCGUACCGCUCAGUAACACGUGGGUAACCUGCCCUAUGCUGGGGGAUAACCUCGGGAAACUGAGAAUAAUACCCCAUAGUUCACCACGCCUGGAACGGUGGGUGGAUGAAAGCUCCGGCGGCAUAGGAUGGGCCUGCGGCGUAUCAGGUUGUAGGGGGUGUAAUGUACCCUCUAGCCAUCUACGCGUACGGGUGUUGAGAGACAUCGCCCGGAGAUGGAUUCUGAGACACGAAUCCAGACCCUACGGGGUGCAGCAGGCGCGAAAACUUGGCAAUGCGAGCAAUCGUGACCAGGGAACUCCAAGUGCAUCGGGUAAGACCGAUGCUUUUCUUGACUCUUCAAAGGUCUUGGAAUAAGAGGUGGGUAAGGACGGUGCCAGCCGCCGCGGUAAUACCGGCGCCUCAAGUGGUAGUCGCUUUUAUUGGGCCUAAAACGUCCGUAGCCGGUUUGGUACAUUCGUGGGUAAAUCAAGACGCUCAACGUCUUGAAUUCUGCGAGCACGGCCAGACUUGGGACCGGGUGAGGUGUGGGGUACUCUCAGGGUAGGGGUAAAAUCCUGUCAUCCUGAGGGGACCACCUGUUGCGAAGGCGCCACACUAGAACGGAUCCGACGGUCAGGGACGAAGCCUAGGGGCACGAACCGGAUUAGAUACCCGGGUAGUCCUAGGUGUAAACGCUGUGGACUUGAUGUUGGGAGUGCUCCGAGCACCCUCAGUGUCGAAGCGAAGGUGAUAAGUCCACUGCCUGGGGAGUACGGUCGCAAGGCUGAAACUUAAAGGAAUUGGCGGGGGAGCACUGCAACCUGAGGAUUGUGCGGUUUAAUUGGAUUCAACGCCGG